UACCGCACAGUUCGUGACGAAGGUUCGCC
rnacentral:sRNA from 1 species